UUUAAUCUUCGGGGCAGGGUGAAAUUCCCGAUCGGCGGUAAAGUCCGCGAGCAACGAAAAAGGUUGCAGGAUUUGGUGAAAUUCCAAAACCGACAGUAUAGUCUGGAUAGGAGAAGAGUAAG
rnacentral:ncRNA from 2 species